UACGUAGGGGGCGAGCGUUGUCCGGAUUUAUUGGGCGUAAAAGGCUUGUAGGUGGCCACGCCAAGUCGGAUGUGAAAUCUCCCGGCUCAACUGGGAGGGGUCAUUCGAUACUGGCGGGCUCGAGGCAGGUAGGGGGAAGCGGAAUUCCCGGUGUAGUGGUGGAAUGCGUAGAUAUUGGGAGGAACACCAGUGGCGAAGGCGGCUACCUGGACCGGUUCUGACGCUGAUGCGCGAAAGCGUGGGUAGCAAACAGG
rnacentral:rRNA from 1 species